AAGUCGUAACAAGGUAACCGUAGGUGAACCUGCGGUUGGAUCAUUAAAAAAAAUUGAAGCUUCAACCCUUUCAAGGGUAGAAGCGUCAGUGCUCCUCUAACAAGGAGCUUGACUACUCCAAUUUUGUGAACUUGCAACCAAAAAAUGUUUUGAUAGUGGUGAAAGAUUUGGGCAUUACCCGCCCAAGUUUUUCCCUUCUUGAAAAAAUUGUUAACCCUGAAGAAAUAACUUGUCUUUACCGUUUUUUAUAAAUAAAAAUUAAUAAACAACUUUUGACAACGGAUCUCUAGGCUCUC
rnacentral:misc_RNA from 1 species